rnacentral:rRNA from 1 species
UCACACAUAAUAUUUACAGAAAAAUUCUUCAUUUAAUUGGGAAAGAAUCAAUAUACUUAUAAUGUUGAAUCAAGAUUUACUAAUAGGACAAAAAGAAACCAUUGGACGAAACUGUUCUUGGGUGUUAAGGUGAUAGAUGUGAAUAAGUCGACUACCUGA